UACGUAGGGGGCAAGCGUUGUCCGGAUUUAUUGGGCGUAAAGCGCUCGCAGGUGGUUUGUCGCGUCGUGCGUGAAAGACCCCGGCUCAACUGGGGAGGGUCGUGCGAUACGGGCGAACUGGAGGCCAGUAGGGGGAUGCGGAAUUCCGGGUGUAGUGGUGGAAUGCGUAGAGAUCCGGAGGAACACCAGCGGCGAAGGCGGCAUCCUGGACCGGCAUUGACGCUGAGUGAGCGAAAGCCAGGGGAGCAAACGGG
rnacentral:rRNA from 1 species